rnacentral:rRNA from 1 species
UACGUAGGGGGCAAGCGUUGUCCGGAUUCAUUGGGCGUAAAGAGCGUGUAGGCGGCCAGGUAGGUCGGUUGUGAAAACUGGAGGCUCAACCUUCAGAGGUCGACCGAAACCAUCUGGCUAGAGUCCGGGAGAGGAGAGUGGAAUUCCUGGUGUAGCGGUGAAAUGCGCAGAUAUCAGGAGGAACACCAAUAGCGAAGGCAGCUCGCUGGGACGAUACUGACGCUAAGGCGCGAAAGCGUGGGGAGCGAACAGG